rnacentral:rRNA from 1 species
GUCUUACCUGGUUUGAUCCUGCCAGUAGUCAUAUGCUUGUCUCAAAGAUUAAGCCAUGCAUGUCUAAGUACAGGCCGAAUUAAGGCGAAACCGCGAAUGGCUCAUUAAAUCAGUUAUGGUUCAUUGGAUCUUACCUUGUCCUACUUGGAUAACUGUGGUAAUUCUAGAGCUAAUACAUGCAAGCAAGCCCCGACCGGCGACGGGAAGGGCGCUUUUAUUAGAUCAAAACCAAUCGGGCUCUCGGGCUCGUUCCUCAGUGGUGACUCUGAAUAACUUUGUGCUGAGCGCAUGGUCUCGUACCGGCGCCGCAUCCUUCAAGUGUCUGCCUUAUCAGCUUUCGAUUGUAGGUUAUGCGCCUACAAUGGCUAUAACGGGUAACGGGGAAUCAGGGUUCGAUUCCGGAGAGGGAGCCUAAUGCGAAAGGAUUUGCCAAGAAUGUUUUCAUUAAUCAAGAACGAAAGUUAGAGGUUCGAAGGCGAUCAGAUACCGCCCUAGUUCUAACCAUAAACGAUGCCAACUAGCGAUCCGCCGGCGUUAUUCCCAUGACUCGGCGGGCAGCUUCCGGGAAACCAAAGUUUUUGGGUUCCGGGGGAAGUAUGGUUGCAAAGCUGAAACUUAAAGGAAUUGACGGAAGGGCACCACCAGGAGUGGAGCCUGCGGCUUAAUUUGACUCAACACGGGGAACCUCACCAGGCCCGGACACCGAAAGGAUUGACAGAUUGAGAGCUCUUUCUCGAUUCGGUGGGUGGUGGUGCAUGGCCGUUCUUAGUUGGUGGAGCGAUUUGUCUGGUUAAUUCCGAUAACGAACGAGACUCAAA